rnacentral:rRNA from 1 species
UACGAAGGGGGGCUAGCGUUGCUCGGAAUCACUGGGCGUAAAGCGCACGUAGGCGGCUUAUUAAGUCAGGGGUGAAAUCCUGGAGCUUAACUCCAGAACUGCCUUUGAUACUGAUGAGCUUGAGUCCGAGAGAGGUGAGUGGAACUGCGAGUGUAGAGGUGAAAUUCGUAGAUAUUCGCAAGAACACCAGUGGCGAAGGCGGCUCACUGGCCCGGUACUGACGCUGAGGUGCGAAAGCGUGGGGAGCAAACAGG